rnacentral:lncRNA from 1 species
UCUCUGAAUGUCUGCACAUAAUUGCAUCUGAACUCUUCCAUCUGAAGUUUGCCAAGGGCUUUUACUUAGUGCUUGUUUUCUUCUUUUUGUUGAAUUUACUGUGUGUAUUUAUUAACCAGAAAGAUAUCUGGGCUUUGAACACUUAACAAAGGACAAAAACUUUUGCAUUCCUGUUACUGUUUGUGAGUAUAUGUAUGGCUGCAUGUGAGAGAAAGAAGUGAUUGCUGAGAUUAUGAAAGAUUACAAUGUGCUUUUGAUUAUAUGCCUAGUUGUUUGGUCUCUCUGCAUUUUCUUAUAACACUUGGCUACUGUGUCCAACUAAAUCCUCGUGUAUUUCUCACUCUGGUCUGCAUCAGGGAGGCGUCACCUCAUUGUGUGUUAUGAGCACUACCAUACAAGAAGGACAUAAAAGUUCAAGAGAGCAUCCUAGGGAGGGCUCUGAGGAUGAGAAAGGGUCUGGAGGGCAAGGUUCUGGAGGGAAUUCUAUCAUAUAAUUUCCUGUCAGCUCUAUUUGAAACUCCACCCUUCUAUGAUAAUUGUGGCAGGUGGCAAAUAGAGAGAAGCAAAUGUAAUUAGUAACCAGACCUGGGAGCACUGCCCUGUCACUAGAUUUUCCUAGCAGUGCUUUGCCAUUAACAGGUCUCAGAACCCUUCAAAGCCUUUGCAUUAUCUAUGUUGAGUUUAAAAUGAGAAAUGCAAGAGGGUGAGGUCUAUGGAUCACCAAUGUUGAUCUCUCUUAAAAUAGGCAGUGUUUUAUAUCCAUAUUGAUUUUGGAUAUUGAAAAUGUAUAUCUAUAUAUAGAGAUAUAUAUAAUAGGUAAAUAAAUAUAAAUAGCUAUCAAAGGUCAAUCACUGAGUCACCUUAAAUACUCAAGGAUAAGGUGGAAAAACUCAAGUUUAAUGGAAUUUUCAAAAUACCUAAGUGUAUCCUUGUCUUACUGCGGUACAUUUGAGCAUUUCUGAUUUAUUUUUUAAGAUUAUUAUUAUAUGGGUUUUUUUGUUUGUUUUUUAAUAAUUCCU